UACGUAGGGUGCGAGCGUUAAUCGGAAUUACUGGGCGUAAAGAGCGUGUAGGCGGCUCGAUAAGUCUGCUGUGAAAGUCCAGGGCUCAACCCUGGAAAGCCGGUGGAAACUGUCGGGCUAGAGUCCGGAAGAGGCGAGUGGAAUUCCCGGUGUAGCGGUGAAAUGCGUAGAUAUCUGGAGGAACACCGGUGGCGAAGGCGGCAUCCUGGACCGGUAUUGACGCUGAGGCGCGAAAGCCAGGGGAGCAAACAGG
rnacentral:rRNA from 1 species